rnacentral:rRNA from 1 species
AUUGAACGCUGGCGGCAGGCUUAACACAUGCAAGUCGAGCGGAGCGAGGGUGCUUGCACCUUAGCUUAGCGGCGGACGGGUGAGUAAUGCUUAGGAAUCUGCCUAUUAGUGGGGGACAACAUUCCGAAAGGAAUGCUAAUACCGCAUACGCCCUACGGGGGAAAGCAGGGGAUCUUCAGACCUUGCGCUAAUAGAUGAGCCUAAGUCGGAUUAGCUAGUUGGUGGGGUAAAGGCCUACCAAGGCGACGAUCUGUAGCGGGUCUGAGAGGAUGAUCCGCCACACUGGGACUGGGACACGGCCCAGACUCCUACGGGAGGCAGCAGUGGGGAAUAUUGGACAAUGGGCGGAAGCCUGAUCCAGCCAUGCCGCGUGUGUGAAGAAGGCCUUUUGGUUGUAAAGCACUUUAAGCGAGGAGGAGGCUACUUAGAUUAAUUCUCUGGGAUAGUGGACGUUACUCGCAGAAUAAGCACCGGCUAACUCUGUGCCAGCAGCCGCCGUAA